UUUCAUGUAUUUUUUUUGUAGCAACAACUGUAGAAAUUGUGUAUGAUGAAAAGGUCUUAACUACUGCUUAAAGAGAAAAAGAAAUUGUGUGGUUUAUUUUUAAAGGGUGCACUCACACACUCACAAAGUAGUGGGGUUGAAAGGAGAGAAAAAAGAGUAAAAGUUCAUUGGAACCCAAUGAUUUAUUGGGAAAGGCUCAGCGAGCUCACAUAAAAACCAAAGGGGGGAAGUGGUCGGACAUUGGGUCAAAUCUCCAUUCACAUGUUGUGUAAUAAAAGGCUGACUGUAGCCUUUCAGCCUUGCUUCUAGUCAUAGACAAUGGCAAUUGCAGAGCAAGACUAAUAACAGGAUUUAGCAUAAAUCCACCACAGGAAGUGAACAGUUGUACUGGCAAAUAAUUAGCCAGGAAACAUUUUAUAGCAGCAUCAGGAUGCGUCCGUGAGCUUUCAAACUCUCAAUGCAUUUGUGAUCAUGAAAACAUAAUUAGUUCUCAGCGAUUGUAAUUUUUGUGUGUGUUUGUUGUAAGAUGGUUCCUUUCCCCUCCUUUCUUUUCACAAACAGGCCUUAUUUUUCCUAUCCUAAUUUAGCAGCCCCAGUGAGGGUUUUGAAGUCUCAAGGGAGGGGUUUAGAAUGUUCUCUUUUUUCUCCUGCUGAUGCUUUUUUAUUGCAAGGUGGAUGGUGUUUAUUUUGCACAGCUAACAAGUGAGUUCAAAGCAAUACGUUGCUCUUGAACUUUUGCCAGAUUCCCAAAGCUGAAAGCUCCCCUGCGUGGUAGAACCGACCUGUACUAUCAAAGCCUGACUAAUUUGCAAAGGAAUGUCAAAAUGACUGGUGCACUGCAUUUUCCACCACCCGCUUCAUUUGACACUUAAAGGAAAGCUAAGUGGGAGUGUAAAAGGAAGGAAAUUCAUUCAAGGAAGCGUACCUUAUAAUGUGUGAAUUAAUUUCAGAAGAGAAUGAGAGCUCAUUGCCGAGUACUUGCAUUUUCAUCUUCUGUGCUCUUUGUUGUAGUUACUGUUUUUGUAAGGGUUGCUAAUAAACAUUAUGCUUCUGUUCUCACAUCAUCCAUAUUAGGAGGAAAUGCUGUCAUUAGACUUGGCUUUGAAAUCCUUUGUGUCAAAGUGUCUACAUGAAGCUGCUUCAUCUGAUUUAGUCACACCAGUCAAAGAGCGGCCUCAUGAAGACAAACACUUGGUCCAGGGCGAUAUUUUUUUCGCCUUUCAACACUCUAAAAAAUCAUUUCCUCAGAACCAAGAGAAUUACAUAUAUGAACAAAUAUAAAUUGUUUUUAGAGGAGACAAGACUGAUAAAUAAAGUCCUACACUUCACAUUUAAAAGCAUAAUUCAGGGAUGAUAUUUGAAAAUGGAAUUCAGCUCACCUAAAAAUUACGCUGAAACAAAGGUCACAGAGAAUCAGAUCAAAUAGGAGACUUUGAUUUAAUUUAGUCUAAUUCUAAUCUCUGUGUUCCAAUUGCAUUUUAUAACCUCGAAUUUUAUUUAAAACUUAUAUUGAAAAUAUGACAUUGACAUAUUCACCCAAAUAAGUUCAUCUGCAAAUCAUUUCUUUAAGCAUUGACCCUAAAAUUUCAUUACUAUUUCUGAUUGUUUUCCCGGGGAGUUUGCUGUGAUUUAUAUAAAUUGCCAUUGUCAUCAGCCAGGUGAACAGAAACCUUACCUUCAAAAUUGUUUUCCUUGCUUGAGUUUUGACCAUGAAUUUCUUAAUGUUCCCUUCUACCUAAAACUGAACUCCAUAUCUCAGCAUGGUUUUGACCACUAAAUGUGUACCUUAUCUCUGUUACCAAAAUCUGAGGUAAUCUGGCAAUGCGUCAGUUACUUGGAAGUGAGCUACUAAGGUACAGUCAUGUAGUAGUUGUCUAAAAAGUGAGUGAACGUCAAACUGAAGGCCAUGCUGCUAAAGGAUGAAGGCCAGAGUCACAUGGAUCCAGGUUUGCAUUACAGCUUUAGCACUUACCAGUUCUAUGGCCACUGCUAAUUAAUUACCUUUCAAAGGCUUAGCUUCCUCAUGUGUAAAAUGAGGCUAAUUUUACCACCUAACCUGUGGUUUAUUGUCCUCCGUACUGUGAAUGUCAAACAAUAAACACUUAAUAAAUGUUAUCUAUUACAAAAUCAAAGCAGUUUGGAAAUAAUAUGCUGCAAGAAUCAGGAAUUCCUUCAAGUGGGCUUAAAAUAUAGGAAAUAUGGCCAAGCGCGGUGGCUCUCGCCUGUAAUCCUAGCACUUUGGGAGGGUGAGUCCGGUGGAUCACCUGAGGUCAGGAGUUCGAGACCAGCCUGGCCAACAUAGUGAAACCCCGUCUCUAUGAAAAUACAAAAUUCGCCACAUGUGGUGGCAUGCUCCUGUAACCCCAGCUAUUUGGGAGGCUGAGGCAGGAGAAUCACUUGAACCAGGGAGGCAGAGGUUGCAGUGAGCUGAGAUCACGCCAUUGCACUCCAGCCUGGGCAACAGGAGCGAAACUCUGUCUAAAAAAAAAAUAAAAUUAUAUACAUAUAUAUAUAUACACAUAUAUAUGUAUAUAUAUAUGUGUAUAUAUACACUUAUAUAUAUACAUAUAUAUAUACACAUAUAUAUGUAUAUAUAUACAUACAUACAUGAAAUAUAUUAUGGAACAAAAAAUCUGGAGGUAAGGAAAACUUCAAGUUUGGUAUCAUCAAAUUUCCAGCUUUGUCUUGCAAUGUUCUUGGUCUUUCCUGAGUUAGUUGUCUUCAGGAUAGUGCCUCUCAUAGUUGCAAAAUAGCUGCCAGCAACAACCAGGACAACCCAUGUCUUUGUUGAAAUCUACCAGAAGAGAGAGGGGAGGAAAGUGCUCUUCAACCAUAAAACUCUGUGCAGUAUGACUGAGAAAAACUUAAGCUCCAUACCCAUCAUAUGUGUCAUGAUGGCAGACACCAGAGAAAUAUUUUGCCCUGAUUGUCUUAAGCUUGGUUGUCAGAGCUAGUUUCUAGCAUGGGAGAAGAAAUUUCUUUUUUCUUUUUUCUUUUUUUUUUGGUUUGUUUGUUUGUUUUGAGACAGAGUCUUGCUCUGUUGCCAGGUUGGAGUGCAGUGGCACCAUCUUGGCUCACUGUAACUUCUGCCUCCCAGGUUCAAGCUAUUCUCCUGCCUCAACCUCCCAAGUCGCUGGAACUAUAGAUGCCCGCCACCAUGCCCAGCUAAUUUUUUUUUUUUUUUUUUUUUUUUGAAUUUUAGUAGAGACAGGGUUUCACCAUGUUGCCCAGCUUGGUUGUCUAACUGAGCUCAGGCAAUCUGCCCGCCUCGGCCCCGCAAAGUGCUAGGAUUACAGGCAUGAGCCACUGUGCCUAGCCGGGAGAAGAGAUUUCUUUUUUUUCUUUUACUUUCUUUUCUUUUCUUUUCUUUCUUUCUUUUUUUCUUCUUUUCUUUCUUUGUUUUCUUUUUUUUCUUUUCUUUUCCUUUCUUCUUUUCUUUUCUUUUUCUUUUUUUUUUGAGACAGAGUUUCACUAUUGUUGCCCAGGUUGGAGUGCAGUGGUGCAAUCUUGGCUCACGGUGACCUCUGCCUCCUGGGUUCAAGCGAUUCUCCUGUCUCAGCCUCCCGAGUAGCCAGGAUUACAGGUGCAUGCCACCAUGCCCUGCUAAUUUUUGUAUUUUUUAGUAGAGACGGGGUUUCAUCAUAUUGGUCAGGCUGGUCUUGAACUCCCGACCUGAGGUGAUCCGCCCUCCUUGGCCCCCCAAAGUGCUGGGAUUACAGGCGUGAGCCACUGCGCCCAGCCAGGGAGAAGAGAUUUCUAUGUUUGAUCUAUACCAUUGAGGAUCUCACCGUAGAGCUGAAUUGAAAGUCAUCUUCCCCUGAGUCAUAUGGGCUAGAUGCAGAAGGAUGGAUGCAUAGACAGAGUUGGGGUAUUGUUAGGAAGGUUGAAAAAAGUUGUGGGGGUCUAUUAGUCAGGGUCGCAGAAGAAAAGAAAUGGCGCAUUCAAACUGAAUAGUUAGAGUUCUAAUCACAAAGGUAAGGGCAGAGUUACUUCUAUUAGUUACAACAACCAGGAAUUGUUACCAAGCCUAAACCUGAAGGGGUAGGGGAAGAAGUAGUUAGCACAACCCAGGAAUAAAAUGACUGUGAAUGAGGACACCUGAUAGGAUUGUGACCUUUAUCAGGGGACUCAACCAGUCCCCCAGCCAUCUUAAACAACUUUACUGGGGAUAUUUCAAGGAUUGUUGGGGUAUCACUCUCCUUCCACCCCCUAAUUUCUUCCUGGUGCCUCCUGUUGGUGGAACACAGCCAGAAGCCAGAGGGCAUGAAAGUCUGCUGGUGGAGUUCAGGGAGGUCAGCAUCCCAGGCACAGAGUGAGAUGGGGGAAGAAAGGAAAGAUAGCCAGAACAAGAACCUAGGACAGGCCACUUCUGGGUAAGCAAACAACAGAGUGUAAAAGUAUUCUCUAAGACAUCACAGAAAUACAAAAGAGAGAAAGAGGGGGAAAACAAAAAAAUAGAAAUAUUAAAGAAGGGUGGAAGAAAAAAAGUUUUUUGGCAAACAGAAAUAGGUUGGAAACUCAAGAUUUAAGUGUGACUGCAAAUGUGCAAAGAUUGCACAUUUUGCUAAGGAGAAGCGGAUUAAUAUUUUCAGAAGCUGGAGAAAGCAAUCAAAGACAACCUGCCUGGAAAGUAAUACAUUAAUUCAUCUUGCAAAUAUUUUUAAGUGCCUACUCAGAAAGGCAAUAUGAAGGGAAAGAGUACUUAAAAACUGGAAUUUGGGGCUAGUUUUUCUGGUUUUGCAUUGUGAAGUCACCACCACUUACUAGCAACCUCAGGCAACUUACUUCAACUCCCUGUAUCUCCACUUCCUCAUCUGUCAAGAGUGAUAUUAAUGAUACAUUUCUGUUGGGAUUCUUUGAGAAUUAGAUGGUCUGAAAUAAAACAUAUAAAACACUUUGAACCACCAGGUACAUACUAAAUGUAAAAUAGAUGUUAGUUUUUCUUAUUACAUUGUACUGGACACUGUGCUAGGUGUUAUUUUAAUCUUACCACCACAAAGCUUACUUUCUAGUAGCGACAUAUAAUCCCUGUAAAUAAGCAUCAUGACAUGCUAUAGAUGGUAUGAUAAAAAUGUGGCCAUGUACAGAUGGGUCAAAGAGAAAAAAGUGGUCAAGGAGUUUGGAUCGGAGGUUUAUUUAGGGGGUAGCCUCUAACUUGAGUCUUGAAUGAAGAUUAAGAAUUUGCUAGGCAGGUUAGACUGGAGAAAAAAGCACUGUAAUCAGAGGACAUUACAUGAACAAAGACAUAAAGACUUGAAAUAACAUGGACUAUUGGAGCAACUG
rnacentral:lncRNA from 1 species